CCUACGGGAGGCAGCAGUGAGGAAUAUUGGUCAAUGGACGAAAGUCUGAACCAGCCAUGCCGCGUGAAGGAUGACGGCCCUACGGGUUGUAAACUUCUUUUGUAUAGGAAGAAACCCCUCUACGUGUAGAGGGUUGACGGUACUGUUCGAAUAAGCACCGGCUAACUCCGUGCCAGCAGCCGCGGUAAUACGGAGGGUGCGAGCGUUAUCCGGAAUUAUUGGGUUUAAAGGGUGCGUAGGCGGAAAUUUAAGUCAGAGGUGAAAUCCUGCAGCUUAACUGUAGAAUUGCCAUUGAUACUGAAUUUCUUGAAUCUUUUUGAAGUAGGCGGAAUAUGACAUGUAGCGGUGAAAUGCUUAGAUAUGUCAUAGAACACCGAUAGCGAAGGCAGCUUACUAUGUUAGUAUUGACGCUAAUGCACGAAAGCGUGGGGAGCGAACAGGAUUAGAUACCCUGGUAG
rnacentral:rRNA from 1 species